ACCUGGGUGGCUCAGUUGGUUAAGCGUCUGACUUCAGCUCAGGUCAUGAUCUCAUGGUUUGUGAGUUCGAGCCCCACAUCAGGCU
rnacentral:tRNA from 1 species